GCGGAGUGGGGGGAAGGAGGGGGUGUGAUACGGCGGGGGCGAGCGGAGUGGGGAGUUAGUGGGAGGAGAGAGACGGUAGGGGGAGUUGCAAGUCCGGUGUGAAAACUGUAGGAUGAAACGCGAGACGUCGGUGGAAGCAGCAAAGUGAGAGGCCGGGAGAGGAGAGUGGAAUUGCGGGUGGAGCGGGGAAAUGCGGAGAUAUCAGGAAGAACAACGGAGGCGAAGGGGGCGCUCUGGGACGGUACUGACGCUGAGACGCGAAAGCGUGGGGAGCGAACAGGAUUAGAUACCCUUGUAGUC
rnacentral:rRNA from 1 species